UACGUAGGUGGCAAGCGUUGUCCGGAAUUAUUGGGCGUAAAGCGCGCGCAGGCGGUCCUUUAAGUCUGAUGUGAAAGCCCACGGCUCAACCGUGGAGGGUCAUUGGAAACUGGGGGACUUGAGUGCAGAAGAGGAAAGCGGAAUUCCACGUGUAGCGGUGAAAUGCGUAGAGAUGUGGAGGAACACCAGUGGCGAAGGCGGCUCUUUGGUCUGUAACUGACGCUGAGGCGCGAAAGCGUGGGGAGCAAACAGG
rnacentral:rRNA from 1 species